AAUUUUCAGAUUCGUUCAGAGAAGAAUGCUAUAAAUAGGUCAAAGUUGACACAUCACCACAAAGCUGGGUCAAAGUCAUUUAUGUCUCACCAAGAGCAAAUUGCAGCACAGACUGGAGAGAUGCAAGGUGCAAUUGAUCGCUUUGAAACAGAGUACAAAAGCACUAAAAAAGGUUGGGACUUGGGAGCAAAAGCAAAGUGGGAUGAAAUGAUUAAGAUGCGAACUGAGACAACUCAACCUGAUGGAA